UGAGUAAUGUCUGGGAAACUGCCCGAUGGAGGGGGAUAACUACUGGAAACGGUAGCUAAUACCGCAUAACGUCUUCGGACCAAAGUGGGGGACCUUCGGGCCUCACACCAUCGGAUGUGCCCAGAUGGGAUUAGCUAGUAGGUGGGGUAAUGGCUCACCUAGGCGACGACCCCUAGCUGGUCUGAGAGGAUGACCAGCCACACUGGAACUGAGACACGGUCCAGACUCCUACGGGAGGCAGCAGUGGGGAAUAUUGCACAAUGGGCGCAAGCCUGAUGCAGCCAUGCCGCGUGUAUGAAGAAGGCCUUCGGGCUGUAAAGUACUUUCAGUGGGGGAGGAAGGCGUUAAGGUUAAUAACCUUGGCGAUUGACGUUACCCGCAGAAGAAGCACCGGCUAACUCCGUGCCAGCAGCCGCGGUAAUACGGAGGGUGCAAGCGUUAAUCGGAAUUACUGGGCGUAAAGCGCACGCAGGCGGUAUGUCAAGUCGGAUGUGAAAUCCCCGGG
rnacentral:rRNA from 1 species